UUUGAUACAUGGAAUCCAUCUCGGAUUUCAUGGCCUCUUGCCAUCUUUUUGAAUCAAUGUUGGACAUUGCUUCAGUGUAGUCUUUAGGGUCUUCCUUUGUUCAUUGUCACCUAGAAGGUGCAAUUCCCCAAAGUCAUUAUCUAAGCCAUACCUCUUAGGUGGCUUGCUAACCCGUUCAGAUCUACGUGGAGCUAGGGGUUCAGGAACAGGGUUGU
rnacentral:lncRNA from 1 species